rnacentral:lncRNA from 1 species
CGCAGAAAAUAUCCCGGAGUGGGAACUGGCACAACCCAGCCAUACACUGAUAUCAGAAAACCUGCCAGAUGUUGGCUAGAGCAUGAGGGACAAAGACUUGGAAUAACUGCAUAAUAGUACAUGGCCAGGUAUAUUCAGGUGUAUAUGGUGAGGUGGGAUUUGUGUUCUGUAGAUGAAGAUGAGGAAACCCUGGAGAGGUAAAGUAUGGAGCGUCUGUUAUACCCAAAACUUUCAUCUGACAGAUGAAAAAAAGCAUCUAUGGCUUGGAAGAAACACCCAAGAUGUG